rnacentral:rRNA from 1 species
CCUACGGGUGGCAGCAGUGGGGAAUAUUGGGCAAUGGGCGCAAGCCUGACCCAGCAACGCCGCGUGAAGGAAGAAGGCUUUCGGGUUGUAAACUUCUUUUCUGAGGGACGAAGAAAGUGACGGUACCUCAGGAAUAAGCCACGGCUAACUACGUGCCAGCAGCCGCGGUAAUACGUAGGUGGCAAUCGUUAUCCGGAUUUAGUGGGUGUAAAGGGCGUGUAGGCGGGAAAGCAAGUCAGAUGUGAAAACUCAGGGCUCAACCCUGAGCCUGCAUUUGAAACUGUUUUUCUUGAGUGCUGGAGAGUCAAUCGGAAUUCCGUGUGUAGCGGGGAGAUGCGUAGAUAUACGGAGGAACACCAGUGGCGAAGGCGGAUUGCUGGACAGUAACUGACGCUGAGGCGCGAAAGCGUGGGGAGCAAACCGGAUUAGAUACCCGAGUAGUC